rnacentral:rRNA from 1 species
GCAAGUCGAGCGGUAACAGAAAGAAAGCUUGCUUUAAUUGUCAGCUAAGUGGCGCACGGGUGAGUAAUAUAUAGGUAACGUGCCUUCAAGAAGGGGAUAACAAUUGGAAACGAUUGCUAAUACCCUAUAUGCCUUUAAGACUUAAGUCUGCAAGGGAAAUAUUUAUAGCUUGAAGAUCGGCCUGUACAGUAUCAGUUAGUUGGUGAGGUAAUGGCUCACCAAGACAAUGACGCUUAACUGGUUUGAGAGGAUGAUC